UCAGAUGUCGUACUUUGACCGGGAUGAUGUUGCCCUGCACCAUUUCUCCCAGUUCUUCAAAGCUCAGUCCCAGGAGAAGCAGGAACAUGCAGAGAAGCUGCUGAAAUUCCAGAAUCAGCGUGGAGGCAGAGUCCUCCUCCAGGAUGUGAAGAAGCCAGAGAGGGAUGAGUGGGGCAACGGUCUGCAGGCAAUGGAGGUUGCCCUGGAUCUGGAGAAGAAUGUGAACC